UAUUGCUUGAUUCUCAAAUGCCUCCUAUCACUACAUUGAGGUAAAAAUAAAUAAUAAAUAAUCUUUUUUGGAUUAAAAAAGAUAGAAAUUGCUAGAAUUUGAUCUUUGUUUGUAAGCCUUGAAACAAGGGAGGCUCCCCGUCUUAGUGAUUUUUCUUUUUAAUAAUUUGAGUGUUGCUAUUAACAUAUAUUUGAUACAUGUUAUUUGGUGGAUUAUGAGUUCGUCCAAAUGAGUUUUGCUCUCCAUCAAUAUCUUACUUUUAUCUGCAUUUUUCGCAAUUUUUUCAUGGAAAUUAUCAAUGAAAUCUCCUCUUUCAUGUCAUUAUAUGUUGACUUUUUUAGGGGGAAAAAAAGUCUAUGUUGAAAUCUCUUUGUUGUAAGCGAAUCAAAUUUUUAAACCAAUUAAUUUUUUUUUUAUAUUAAUUGAAAUUUCGCUGAUACUAUAAGUAAUAAUAUAAUACUGUAAGUAUAUAAAAUUACAAUUUAUUCCAUAAUAAAAGUUUUAUUCACAAGUAUAUUAUCUAUUUCAUCUUCAAUUUUCUCUAGUGGUAUUAGAGCAUAUAUAUUCGUGAUUUUGUUGGGAUGUGAUGUGAUAAUGUCAUAGUACUGUUCUUGAGUUGUACACACAAAAUUAAAGGAAAAGAACCAAAAUUAUGUUUCCUUUGUUUUCGCCAUGAAAAUCAACUGUAUUUUGUUUUCGGGAUAAUGGUUAUUAGAAAUUUUUUCUGUUUGGUUUGAUGGAAAUUUUGAGGGGAAGACUAAUAUGGACCAAAAUCCAUUACAGUCACAUAGACUAUCCUUAGGGU
rnacentral:misc_RNA from 1 species